rnacentral:rRNA from 1 species
CGGAAGAAGGUACGCGCUAAUACCGCGGACUAAUGACGGUACCCGAAGAAUAAGCACCGGCUAACUACGUGCCAGCAGCCGCGGUAAUACGUAGGGUGCAAGCGUUAAUCGGAAUUACUGGCACGUAAAGCGUGCGCAGGCGGCUUUGCAAGACAGAUGUGAAAUCCGGGCUUAACCUGGGAACUGCAUUUGUGACUGCAUGGCUGGAGUGCGGCAGACGGGGAUCCG